rnacentral:misc_RNA from 1 species
UUAAAAAAGAUAUGUAUCGCAGGGGUAAUGUUUGAAUUUUUCAAUUUAUCAUCUCACGGGCCAAAUAGUAGUAUCGUAUUGUUGUACUGUCGCCGAUUUAGAAGGAACCUUAAAGUACAAACAAACUGAGAUUCCUAAAGUGUGUUGAUGUACGGUGUAUAGUAUGUAAAUAUUUGUGUAAUUAUUUGUUUACUAAUAUUUAAAGUAUUUUAAUCAUUACGUGAUAUGGCUAAGCAUCAUCCAGAUUUAAUCUUUUGUAGGAAACAGCCAGGUGUUGCUAUUGGACGAUUAUGCGAGAAGUGUGAUGGUAAAUGCGUAAUUUGUGACUCCUAUGUAAGACCAUGUACUCUGGUCAGAAUUUGUGACGAAUGCAAUUAUGGAUCUUAUCAAGGCAGAUGUGUUAUCUGUGGAGGUCCUGGUGUUUCAGAUGCCUAUUACUGCAAAGAAUGUACAAUUCAAGAAAAGGAUAGAGACGGGUGUCCGAAGAUCGUAAAUCUUGGAAGUUCAAAGACAGAUUUGUUCUAUGAAAGAAAGAAAUAUGGAUUCAAGAGAAGAUAAGAUUCGGUACUGAAGAUCAAUUAAUUUAUAUAACAAAUUUUUCAUAUGUUCCAAAUAAAUAGUUUUCUUGUACAAUUGCGACUCCAGCAAGGAUCCAUUUGCUAGCCCUCUCUUUCGUCCUCAAGUUAAACGUCCAAACAUAGGUCGGACCUCGAGAUCGU